rnacentral:lncRNA from 1 species
AUCAAAGUUCUCGUUGUUGAUCUCACAUGCUUUAAGUGCAAUAGGACGGUCAAAUUUUUCUUGCUUCCGCUUGUAGAUUGGCAACUCGACCGACAAGAUUAGGGAUUGCAUAUCAUAAUUUUUGGGAAAUAAAACACCAACACAUUCAACCACAGCAUCAUUGGCUUCUAAAUCAUCUCGUACCUCCGAAUUAUUAUAAAAAUAAUAUGGAUUUAAAAUGUAGGCCGUCAUAUGUAGACAAGUGUCAAGCCUUUUGGAUGAUUUUUUUGAGAUAAUAUCUAGAAUAGGCUCGUAUGCAUUUUUAUUCUUGCCUUGGCUAGUUCCAAAUCUAUUAAUAGGACCAAAAGAACGAGAUUCCUUCAAAUCUCCUAAACAAUCAUCUAGGUCAAUUGUUUCAUCACCAAUGUUCACCUCGGAUCUUAAAGCUUCAUCACCACUUUGUUUAGCCUUUUUUUUGUUUUGGGCUUCAUUAAGAGCAUUUCGAACCCUUAACUGAUCAUCUUUUGUUGCUUUUGGACAAACCGUAACACUUCCCGGUAUGCCUGCUAUAUGUUGUUUCAAUCUAUAUAUUCCCCCGGACAUAGUCUUUUUACAUAAGUCGCAUUGAGUUCUAUCUAACUUAUUUGGAUCCACCAAACUUCCGUAUUCCCAACCAAUAUCGUUAGAUUUUCUUUUAAGAACUUUACUAGCGGUUGAUUCCAUAGAUGCCAUAAAUUAACUACACUUACCUGUUGGAUUGGAGAAGGAACUCGCCGCUGUAAGGAACUCGCCGGAGAAGAAAGCAGGUCCGCCGGAGAAGGAACUCGCCGCUGUAAGGAACUCGCCGGAGAAGAAAGCAGGUCCGCCGGAGAACGAAGCAAAGCCGCCGGAGAAGGAACUCGCCGCUGUCGCCUGUCGCUGAUGUCUUUGAUGUCGCCGCUGAGAGAAGGGGUGGAAUCAGUGAGUAUUCACCGAAGGUGA